rnacentral:rRNA from 1 species
GACAGAGGGUGCAAACGUUUGUUCGGAAUUACUGGGCGUAAAGCGAGUGUAGGCGGUCUCGUAAGUCGGGUGUGAAAGCCCUGGGCUCAACCCAGGAAGUGCACUCGAAACUGCGAGGCUAGAGUACUGGAGAGGUUGGUGGAAUUCUCGGUGUAGAGGUGAAAUUCGUAGAUAUCGGGAGGAACACCAGUGGCGAAGGCGGCUACCUGGACCAGCACUGACACUGAGGCACGAAAGCGAUGGGGAGCAAACAGGG